rnacentral:lncRNA from 1 species
CUUAUUUGAGGAAAUUCAUAUUAAAACUUUAAAAACUCUAAAGGGACUCUAAUUAAGAAUGGCUAAUGAGCCUCCGGUUGUCUUUUUUUUAAAAAAAAUUCUAACAUGAUCAAAUAUAAUUUACCAAACUCUAAUGAUCUAAGGUUCAGAGUUAUCAUUGUUAAAUGAAGCAGAAGUCCAAACUUUGCAGGAGAAAUAGCACCAUAAACCUUCAGUACUACAAAGUCAUUGGAGGUUGUUUUUAAAAUUUCCAUGUUCCAGGAUAUCACAGAUAGUGGCUGCCUUCGCUCUUCCUCAGGAAAGUUGGAGAUACCUUUUCAUCCCCAGACACAGACCCAGCUCAAUUACAGCUUUGUGGCAGGAUAAGGUUAAGGGGAUGGGGGAGGACAGGAAAGAGGAGGGAGGCAGAAACAGAAAAAUCAAUUCAAAUUACUUUGAUGACAGUGACUUCACGUCUACUCUGGGAGACAGUCACAAACCUCCAGGAUGCUGGCAGCUCGGACUGGGGCAGCUGGGAGCCAGAUCUCAGAAGAGAACCCCAAAUUAAGGAGACUAUCUGGGCUUUCCAUAGGGAGCAAAGACAAAUCACCCAAGAAAGCUGCAGAAAAUGGCAAAGACAGAAGCCUCAGCCCCUCAGGGCAAACCCAACUCAGGGCACGGCAACUGGCUCUGGUGCGCGAAGUGGAGAUGAACUGGUACCUAAAGCUCUGGGAGCUGUCCAGCGAGCACACCACUGCCUGCACCACAGGCAUGCCUCACAGAGGCUAAAAGAGUCCCUGGGCUGCCUCUCUGUGAAUAGGCUCAAGUAUAUUCCAGGUUACCUCUUUGAGCCAUUGAUGUUUUCCUCCAUGUCCAAGUCGUGUAAUGCAUAG